AUGCGCGCGCCCGGGCGGCGCGGGAUCUGGGUCUGGGGAUGUGGUACCGGCUGCUGGCGGCGGCCGGCAGUAGAGCGGUGGCCAGGCCGCUGGCCUUGCUGUGGCGAUGUGGUGGCCCAGGAGGCGGCAGGACGGCCAAGACCAGCGCGAGGGCCCUGGGCAAGGCCCGACAGAAGAAGCUAGGAAAGCUCAUCUGGCCUCCUGUUCCAGUGCUUCCAGGGGAUCCACGUUCAGAAGCUGACUCUGCAGGCAAGACCGACGUUAUUUUCCUGGUGGCUGUGUUCAAAACCACCCAAAGGGUUUGAGAAAUACUUUAAGAGGAGUGGAAGGAACACAAACUGAGAAACAUCAACAGCACCAAAAAAAGAGACUGGUGAACUAGAGAAUGCUGAGUCUGGAGGAGACGGAGGCAGGAGAGGAGGGAAGCAGGAUAACGUUGCCUGGUGGAGGCGGAUGCAGAAGGGGGGACUUCCCCUGGGAUGACGAGGAUUUCCGCAGUCUGGCCCUUUUGGGGGCAGGCGUUGCCAUGGGAUUUUUCUACCUCUAUUUUCGAGAUCCUGGAAGAGAAAUCACGUGGAAGCACUUUGUACAGUAUUACCUGGCCAGAGGUCUGGUGGACCGGCUGGAAGUCGUGAACAAACAAUCUGUGCGUGUUAUUCCUGCCCCUGGGACCUCUUCUGAAGGAGCCAUGCUCACUGGUCCUCCUGGUACCGGCAAGACCCUUCUUGCCAAAGCAACUGCAGGGGAGGCCACUGUGCCCUUCAUCACUGUGAACGGGUCUGAGUUCCUGGAAAUGUUUAUUGGCGUUGGGCCAGCAAGGGGUUCAACUCUGCCACCAACGUCGUGGUGUUGGCUGGCACCAACCGCCCUGACGUCCUGGACCCGGCCCUCAUGCGGCCUGGCCGGUUUCAUCGCCAGAUUUACACUGGUCCCCCUUACAUUAAAGGCAGGUCCUCCAUCUUUAAGGUCCACCUGCGCCCACUGAAGCUGGACAAGAGCCUCAAUAAGGACACCCUGGCGAGGAAGCUGGCAGUGCUCACCCCAGGCUUCCCUGACGGGGAUGACUCAGCACUACCCCUCAACAGAGAUGACUUUGAUGACUCUGCCCCUCAGCAGGGCUUACUAAGCACUACCCCUUAACAGGGAUGACUCCGCACUGCCCCUCAACAGGGAUGACUCAGCAGAGAUGACUCAGCACUGUCCCUUAGCAGGGAUGACACAGCAAGGAUGACUCAGCACUGCCCCUCAGCAAGGAUGACUCAGCACUGCCGCUCAACAGACAUGACUCAGGGAUGGCUUAGUACUGCCCCUCAGCAGGGAUGACUCAGCACCGCCUCUCAACAGGGAUGACUCAGCAGGGAUGACUCAGCACCGCCCCUCAACAGGCAUGACUCUGCAGAGAUGACUCAGCACUGUCCCUUAGCAGGGAUGACACAGCAAGGAUGACUCAGCACUGCCCCUCAGCAAGGAUGACUCAGCACUGCCGCUCAACAGGGAUGACUCAGGGAUGGCUUAGUACUGCCCCUCAACAGGGAUGACUCAGCAGGGAUGACUCAGCACCGCCCCUCAACAGGCAUGACUCUGCAGAGAUGACUUAGUACUGCCCCUCAGCAGGGAUGACUCAGUACUGCCCCUCAGCAGGGAUGACUCAGCACUGCCCCUCAACAGGGAUGACUCAGCAGGGAUGACUCAGCACUGUCCCUUAGCAGUGAUGACACAGCAAGGAUGACUCAGCACUGCCCCUCAGCAAGGAUGACUCAGCACUGCCGCUCAACAGACAUGACUCAGGGAUGGCUUAGUACUGCCCCUCAGCAGGGAUGACUCAGCACCGCCCCUCAACAGGGAUGACUCAGCACUGCCCCUCAACAGGGAUGACUCAGCAGGGAUGACUCAGCAGUGUCCCUUAGCAGCGAUGACACAGCAAGGAUGACUCAGCACUGCCCCUCACCAAGGAUGACUCAGCACUGCCGCUCAACAGACAUGACUCAGGGAUGGCUUAGUACUGCCCCUCAGCAGGGAUGACUCAGCAGGGAUGACUCAGCACCACCCCUCAACAGGGAUGACUCAGCAGGGAUGACUCAGCACUGCCCCUCAACAGGGAUGACUGCAGGGAUGACUCAGCACUGCCCCUCAGCAGGGAUGACUCAGCACUGCCCCUCAGCAGGGAUGACUCAGCAGGGAUGACUCAGCACCGCCCCUCAACAGGCAUGACUCUGCAGAGAUGACUCAGCACUGCCCCUCAGCAGGGAUGGCUCAGCAGGGAUGACUCAGCAUUGCCCCUCAACAGGGAUGACUCAGCAGACUCAGCAGGGAUGACUCAGCACUGCCCCUCAACAGACAUGACUCAGCAGGGAUGACUCAGCACCGCCCCUCAGCAAGGAUGACUCAGCAGGGAUGAUUCAGCAGAGAUAACUCGGGGAUGACUCUGAUUGUCCUUCAGCAGGGAUGAGUCUGUUUUGCUCCGAUGGAAGCAUCUGUAGUGUCCAUCAGCAGGUGAAUGGCCAAAGUGGUAUAUACUGUAGUCACAUUCAGCUAUAAAAAGGAAUAAAGUAUCGAUGCAUGCCACAACAUGGGUGAACCUAGAAAAUACUGAUCUAAAUGCAAGAAGCCAGGCACAAAAGGCCACAUAGUAUAUGUUCCCAUUUAUGUGAAAUGUGCAGAAUAAUAAUAAAAAUGUAUAGAAUAGCAAAUCUGUAGGGACAGACAUGAGGUGAGUGGUUGCCAGAAGUGGAAAUGGGAGUUAACUAUAAAUUGCACAGGGUACCUUACAGAGAUGAUGGAAAUGUCCUAAAACUAGAUUAUGGCAAUAGUUGCACUACGUGAUCAGUUUAUUAAAAAUCGUUGAUGUGUGUGUGUAAAAUGGGUGGAUUUUAUGGUUUAUAAAUUAUACCUUAAUAAAGGUUAACAAAAAAUGUGGCU
ensembl:lncRNA AFG3L1P AFG3 like matrix AAA peptidase subunit 1, pseudogene